CAUGCAAGUCGAACGAGCGAGAGAGAGCUUGCUUUCUCGAGCGAGUGGCGAACGGGUGAGUAACGCGUGAGGAAUCUGCCUCAAAGAGGGGGACAACAGUUGGAAACGACUGCUAAUACCGCAUAAGCCCACGGUGCCGCAUGGCACAGAGGGAAAAGGAGUAAUCCGCUUUGAGAUGGCCUCGCGUCCGAUUAGCUAGUUGGUGAGGUAACGGCCCACCAAGGCGACGAUCGGUAGCCGGACUGAGAGGUUGAACGGCCACAUUGGGACUGAGACACGGCCCAGACUCCUACGGGAGGCAGCAGUGGGGAAUAUUGCACAAUGGGGGAAACCCUGAUGCAGCGACGCCGCGUGGAGGAAGAAGGUCUUCGGAUUGUAAACUCCUGUUGUUGGGGAAGAUAAUGACGGUACCCAACAAGGAAGUGACGGCUAACUACGUGCCAGCAGCCGCGGUAAAACGUAGGUCACAAGCGUUGUCCGGAAUUACUGGGUGUAAAGGGAGCGCAGGCGGGAAGACAAGUUGGAAGUGAAAUCUAUGGGCUCAACCCAUAAACUGCUUUCAAAACUGUUUUUCUUGAGUAGUGCAGAGGUAGGCGGAAUUCCCGGUGUAGCGGUGGAAUGCGUAGAUAUCGGGAGGAACACCAGUGGCGAAGGCGGCCUACUGGGCACCAACUGACGCUGAGGCUCGAAAGUGUGGGU
rnacentral:rRNA from 1 species